UCUGCACAAAAUAAGAGGCAAAGCAUCCUUUGCAGCAUGAGAUGUACUGUAUUAGGAGGAGAGGUACUUACUGCUUAGAUGCUUUUCACAUUCAAAGCACCUGAAAGGUGGUACAUAGUAAAAGUGAGAAUUAAGCUGAUGGAUGUAUUGGUGAUGUGUGGGUGUUUUACUGGGCAGGGCCCUUAACUCAGGUGCUGGGAGUUGUGAUCACAGCCAGCUUUGGAUGGAGGUACAAAGCAGGUACAUUAAGGGAGACUGGCUGUGGUUUGGGAGCUGGAAGCUGUGCUCCCAGCCCAGCUGAAAGCUGUGGAAUCCCCUGAGGAUGCUCAGCGUGUGGGUACUCCUGCCUUGCUGUGUGGAAAGGGAGUCUGGCACUGAGCAGAUGGUGCGGGCACACCACGCACCUGUUGCAUGGGUGAGAGGAGGCUUCACACCAUGUUCAGGUGUCACUGGGUGCUCGCUUGAGCAGAACAUCACUGGCUUUCUGUUCUGGGUAAUGGGUGUGGAAUUAUUCAAGAUUAGGCUGUUAAAUACUUGGAGCUGUCUUGGUAACAAGCUGUGAUUUUUAUUAUUCUUCACUCCAUGGUGACUUUUGAUAGCUCUGAGUAAAGUACCCACAAUAGUCAACAGCACGUGAUGAGGAGAGGGCUGAGGGCCAUUCAUUUUCACUGAUGGGAAGUUUGGAAAUGCCUCUUAGGCAGCUUGAUAUUUUUAGCACCUGCAAGAUAGGCAUAUUUGCAAUUCCCUCUUUUAUCUGUACUGUGGAAGGACCAAAAAGUCCCAACUAUGGUCUUGUCUUUGUAAAUGCCACAAAUAAUUUAUUUCAUCUCUCCUAUACUGAUGCUGCUGCUGUACCCUGAUUCCCUGCUACUGCCAGUCUAAGCAAGGCUGCCAGGAUACACCUGAAUGAAAAGUUACCUAAAUCUAGCUAGAAUGGACUCUGUCUCAGCGUGCAGUAGACAAAAAGUGAAAUUUCCCAAGCACUUGAGGAGCAGCUGCAAUGUUUUUGAUGCAUAUCUAGGCACAUAACUCAGACUGAAACUUAACAGCAAGGCUUAGUCUCCUCACAAGAGCCUUUUAAAACUUGUUCUCAGAAUCCAAUAUGGAUUACAAAUCAUUAGAACAGAUGAGGAGGGAUCCAGAAUGGAUGAGGCACUGGUAAAACUAGAUUAGUUAGAAUAUAGAAGAGAUCUAAAAGCAGGAACAGCUAGGGAGAUUAUUAGCUCAAGAAGAUGAGAUUAGAUAGAGCAGCUCUUCUUUUGCUACCCUGGCUUUCCUGUUCAGUCUCCCAGCCAAAAACAGCUUGUGCAACAAUGCCAAAAACCAAAACAUUCUUCCUCUAGGCUUGAAAAUCUGGCAGCAUUUGAAUUUGUCCAGAACUCUGCCUCCAUCCCAGCCUGCCUGUCUAUACAGAGAUGGAAAAAGGGGAGGAAGGCAAGGGCUAGCGGUUAGCAAGGGCUCUGGUCCGAGUUCUUUUCUAGAGUUGGGUGUGAUGGGUGGAUUCUUGCAGAGCUCAUCAACUUUAGUUCUCUAGAGCUAAAGAAGAGGGAGAGAGCCCAGGCAAAAUCACUCAGUGCUUGGUUUUAUUUAUAUUUCUGCUCCACACCAGCAGUUGCUGGAGGAGUUGACCCUUUGGGUAUCUUGCUUAUUGUUCCUGGAGGUUUUUAAUGUUUGUUUUUCCAGAAGCAAUAAUUCCAAUGGAUGGAAAUGCAGUUACAGCUUCUUAGAGCAAUUAACUCAUUUGCUUUGGUCCACACUGCUGGAUAUUACUGCUAACUGGAAAAUGUCAUCCAUUUGUUUAUAUUAAGGAAGAAAAGUGAGAGAUUUGCAAAGAGAAGGCUGCAGUGAGAUUGUUUGGUCCUAGUGGGCCUUAAACUAUUCAUCUAACAGGAGUGAGUUGAGCGCUUGCAGGCUCCACAUGUAAACCGUGUAAUCACCUUGUUAACACACUUUCCAGCAGUAACUUCCCUGACUCUUGCCUGCUUUGGAAUAUUCAUGUGCUCAUGCAUCAUUUUAAUGAACUUAUCAACACAUUCAUAAGCUAUUAAUUAAACAUUUAUUAGUAAUUAUGUUUUGGGAUCGCCCGAUGCAUAACUCCUGGUGUUAUAAAUAUGACAUCUCACCCCUGCAUUUCACCAGCCCAGUCCACAGGGUGAGAAAGACACAGCUGAAAGAUGCAAGGCUCGUUCUCCCCCAUCCUACCCAGCCUGCACCCGUAUCUGGCUCAGCUCUUACUAAUCGGUGUAUUCUGCUUCCCUGGACAUCGUGGAAAUGAGCUGGUAGGAGAAAGCAGAAUUCACUGGGUGAUGGCCCACAUUACCAAGGCAAAUGCGUGUUGUGGGGCAGCAGCGUGGAUAGCCAUGGCAGAUUCUCGCUGCAAAUGUUACAGGGAUUUCCAGAUGAGAAUUAAUGGACUUCCCUUGGCUAGCGUAGAAGAAAAUGUUCUACGUGUGGUUGUUUAUUAUUUCUGUUACAGUCACUGUACUUGCUUAUUGCUUCCAUCUGUUGGCAUCAAACUAUUGGCUCUUGUCUUAUCACUGGGAUGUAAACCCUUCACAGGCAGGGAGCAUGGUUUGGCGAGAGGCAUAACAGAAGCGCCCAAGAAAUUUAGGUGCUUAAAGACUGGGAUGCUUUGGAAUCUGUUCCAGAGAGGAACUCAGGUACUUUAUUCCCGGCGGUUUCAUUCAAGAAGAAAUAUGUUUGUUGGCCAAAAAUAUUAAGUGCAUCAAUUUUUGCCCUUCAAGCCUUGAGAAGUCGUUGCUCCAGACCAUCGUAUCUCCAGUUGGUGCCUCAGGAGAUCAUUAGCUUUGUUGUAUGGUGUUCCUGGGGAACUGAUUGACCCAGACCACAUCCUGCUUAAAGAAUACUUAAACUCCUACUUGGGCAUAAUUUGUUUUGCUUAUUCUUCUUUGCUGCCCCUCCUCUUGUCUGCUGCCAGAUUAGACAGGACAGGAUCAAGCAGGCCAACUGGGAGAUCCAGAAUCAUCAUUAAAAAUAAAGCUCCUGUCUUCCCUGUUCUCCAGGCCAUGUCUGGAUCCACCAACAUUGUUACUCAAAGGAGUGCAGACAGAUUUAGAGCACACCAUGGGACCCGCUGGUGGCUAGUAGCCCCACAAACAAAACUCUCUUUAUCUACUGCAGGCAAGCACUGGCUCUCCACUGGCACCAGGAACCCACUGGAUAAUCCCGUGCAGGUGGCCUCAGCUUUGAUGCUUUUACGUGGCAAUUUGGAUGAAUUGGCAGGAACGGGAGAUGCUGCACUAGGUCGUGUGCUGUUUUAUAAAUUUUAAUCCUCGCUUUGAAUUUUCCAGCAGAAUGGAUUUUGCUCUACCUCUGGGCUGGAGGGAAACUUCUCUUCGUUACCCUGGAAACGUGAAGACGACAGAUCCAUCGUUCAUCAGCGAGAGGGAGAAGAUGAGAGGGAAAUAGAUGACAAAAAAGUAUGGGCAGGGGGAAAGACCAAGGGAGUAGAAGAGUCUUUCAGAGGAGCCAUCUUCACCUACUGCAUCAAGGCUGGGAGCCUGGAGUGCUCAGGCUAUCACCAGUGGUCAGGAUUUCCCAGCACUUCAUCAGACCUCCCAUAGCAGAAGACUUGCUGGAGCAAUUUUGCUUAAUUUUGACAAUAAAGCAAUGGGUGAUGGAUUAAUGUUAAUAUCUCCUUGCUCACUUCCCAGCUCUGGCAGCCUGGAAUCAGCUCCCGCUUUACAUAUUUAAUCUUUUACCUCCUUUAAACCUGGGAUGUUGCUAUGCAGAGGACACCUGAAGGUCAAAGAGCCGCUCGGUGACGGAAUGGCCAAGCUGCAGGACAAGAGCAAGUGUUCCUAUACUAUAGACGAGAACAGGAGGAAUCCAGACAUACCCGCUUGGACACCACCUCCCCUUCACAGGGAGCCCAUGAGGACAUCAAGGCAAUUCACCUGAUUAAAGUCAGGCAUAUGUUUACAUCUCCUGCUUAAUUGGCUUUGUGAGGAAGCCAGUAAGUUAUUCUUGUCCAAGCAGCCACAGAAGAAGCUGUAACACCCAGUGUGGGCAAAUACACACAAAGCACAGAAGGGUAGCAUAGGGAUCAGACUCCAAAUGCCCAUGCUACUCUUGCAAGCAGCUGGAAAUCAAAUAUGCCCUUGGCUACAGGUGAAGUCAGAAAGGACAUGCUGGCUGUCCCAUCCCUGGAGCUUCAGAGCACAGCAGAGGAGUUGCCUUUUCUGCAUUGUGGAGUCUGGCAUAAGAGCUGGUGGCAACCUGAAGCUCACCCUGGGUCUGUGCAGUGGCAUACCUCCAUCAAGAUACAUAUUCACGCUGCAGAGUUUAAACUUAGGACAGCAAUCUACACUCAGCUCUUGCGUUACUUGGUGUUACCAUGUGUCCUGGAGGGUAUAGGGCAAGGAAGUCCACAGUGCCAGACUCCCAUCUUUUUACUGUGUUAACUGAGAGCUCUGGAGAACAUAAACCACUCUUCGGUGUCUUGGUGAGGUCUGAGCUACAGUUAAAGGGAAAAGAAAGCAGAUUUCUGCCCUUCCCACUGAACUUCAAGGAGUUAGACUCAAGAAUUAUUUUUUUUCCUGCUGGAAAUUUGAGCGAAGAGCAGGUGAGAAAGGACACUUAAAGUCAGGAUAUUUAGUUCCUGCCCCCUGUAAGAUCCCUGUGCUCACCUCCUGUUUCCAUGCCUUGAUGAUAUUACUCCCCCUCCUGCACUUUGUCUCCCUGCCACCCUCCAAAGCACCAGCUCAUGUUAAUCUUCUCUUUCCUUGCUGAGUUGCGAAGUGCUUAAAGGCAAGGGCUCCAUUUUCCUGCCCUGAUAAAGUCCCCUGUGCUCUAAUGGCGCCAUGCAAAUAAAUACAUGAUAAUAAGCAGUAGCCUCUCAUCCACACUGCUCCCAGGGCCACAGAGAGCCUGGGGCUUACCCCAGAGUUUGCAGGAGUGCCAAGGAGAAGUUAUGUUCCCCUUGCCCUGUGAGGCUCCGUCCUCCUCCGUCUGUUCUCCUCACUACCUCGCUGUGCUCCUCCCUGGUCCCCUAGUAUUGCCUUCAUGUCUCCAAGUUUCUACUUGUCAUAGCCCCGUGUCCCUCUAUUCACUACCACCAUGGACCUCCCAGCACUGCAGUUCUGUUCACAGCCUCAGUUCACCUCUAAAGCAAGCCUGAGGAAGAAAAGAAAAUGGAAAGGAAGUACUUCCCUUGAAGCAAGAAGAUAACCAGCGUGAGCCAGGUAAAAGUUGUUGAUUUUGUUAAUAUUCGAGGAACUGUAUCUACUAAGACAUGUAGGCUGCCAUCGGAGGCGGAGAGCUGAGCUGGCUGGAUUUUAACUUGCCACUGCCAUCUGCGGGGCUGUUGUUGCUAGUAGCAAAGCCAGGCCAUCUCAGGAGGAUACUGAUCUAUGUUACAGUAAUUAUCCUCUUCCCCAAGGAAGUUUGCAGUCCCUUUUCCCUCCCUCACCCUGUUGCUGGAGCAGUGUCAGUGUAGCUGCCAGGCAGAGUAGUGGCAGCAAGAGACAAGUGUAGCAAACAGUAUUUGACAGUGUGUUUUGGAUGCAUUUCAGGUGAAAGCACAAAAAACCCAAGCGUGUUUGAUCCUGGCUGUACCUGCCUUCCAUAUUCAUGUUUGUGCGCCUCCAUGUCAUUAUGAGAUUAAAGCAUCAUUAAGCACACAACGAAAGCCUUUGAUAACACUCUGCCCCGUGCUCCUCCUUGCCUUUCUUUUUUGCAUUUCUCCCGCCCAUCCUAUUUCUUUUUUUUUUUUUUCCCUAGUCUUUUUCCCCCUUCCUUCUUUCUUCUCCCCAGUCAUUUCAGGGAUGCUUUGGAGUAAUACCUCACUGAGAUACGAUACAGUUGAAAGGACUGUAUUCUGACUAUCCUUUAUACCAGUGUGUAUAUCAGUUUUAGCGUAACAGACUGGAGGCAGUGGCAUCCAGUGCAAAUCUGUGCCGCUGUAUCCAGGUCCACAGAGGCUCUGCCAGCCUGGGAGAGCAGAGGACAUGCUGCAGCUAAGUUGGUGCAAAGAGGGUGGGGAACACAACCAGGUCCCCAGUGUAGAGUUCUGGUGUAAAUCCAGGAGUUACGCAACUGACAUUGGGGAAGCUGGUUCAGAUUUACACCAGGGUAUUAGUGAUCAGUAUCUGGUAUUCAGCACCUGCUUUGCAACCCUGCUACUGAGAGCUGCAGAGUUUCAAGCAGCCGCUGUAGAAUGCUAGUAGUAUUUUUAAUAAGGGUGCUGAGACCAAUCUACUCCUGUAUGGCAAACGUGACAGCAAUUUAGAUUGAAAGCCUCUGUUUUCCAGGCAGACGCUCAGCCAGUUAGUGCAAACAAAAAGGCACUUGUAACUCCAGUUCUUUAAUCUUACUCUUUGCUUCAUGAUAGAUAAGGCGUCUUGACAUCAAAUUGCACUAAUGCGGUCCUCUGAAGAUUAGCACUGUGGACAAUGCUUGUCGUCUGGCUUUCCCUGAUAUGUUUUCUGAGUGUAGCAAGGUCCAGUGGUCAAAGCAGGGAUGCUGGUAUGGAAAAUGGGCUGUUCUCGUACUCUCCCUGCCUCUGACUUCUAGUCUGCCAGCAGCUGACCUUGCCUCUUGGUUUUUGCAGUUGUAAAAUGGGCAUAAUAGAGACUAAUUGCUGAUGGAUGGGGGGGUGGGGCAGGGCUGGGAGAGCUGGUUGGGGGAUGGCUAAUGAUUAUUGGCUUGAAAAUUACAGAGGAGAGAGGGGAAGAAACAGAAGGAAGGUUUUGCAGUGAGUGUGGGAUGCAGGAGCUGCUUCUCUAGAGAUCUCAGAGCUUUUUUCUACAGAUGGUCUCAUUCCUCUCAUUUGAACAAAGGGGCAAAAAAAUAAAAGGUCAAGCAAUUUGCCCAAGGUCAUAUGAGAAGUCUAGGAAUGAACCCAAGUGUUGCAGGUGCUGCCAGCCUGCUGUAACCAGUGGGUUGUGUUGCCUGUUCACAGGCUGUAAAAGCUGUUGAUGCAGACAGAAACCCCACCAUGUGUUUCAGUUCCCAGUACCAUGCAUUGGGCAGAGUUGGGAGUCACUUCAGCAGACCCAGAGAAGCAUUUGAGGGGGAUGCAAUGGCUGCACAGCAGCUCUGGUUCUGUGUAUUAUCCAGUGUAAUUAUCCAAGGACCAUAACGCCUGGGCUAAAUUCUGUUGCUAGUUUCUCUCCAAGUAAAGCCAGAGCAGCCUGUGGGGGGGGAUGCAGACUUGCUGGGAUGGGUGUGAGAAAAUGACGGGAGCCUGGAGCCACUGUGAUCCUCCCAGGCUCUGCAGCAGGAAAGAGUCCACCUUCCUAAGGACUCUUUCAAGUACCCCAGGCAUAAAAAACAGCCUGAAGUCCACCUGGAUCUGCCAUGAGUCUGUGGUUGAACCUCUGCUGAGCCCAAAGCCCUGGGCUUUGCUUUUGUUGGUCACUCACACCACCGGAACAAAGUGGUUGGGCUCAGCCCUCACCCUGAAUGGGGCUGCAUGGGUGCUCCUCCAUCCCAUGGCUCACAUCCACCCUCCAGAGAAGCUUCACUGCUUCCACAGAGGUGGGCCUGUCCUAGUACAUCAACCCACCUGCUUGGCAUUGAGUGAUUUAGCACUGAAAAUGAAGGGGACUCACCUGGACUGUCCUGCAGCUCCCAAAAAUCCCAUGCUGUGCAUGGUGCCGCAGAGUCUCCCUUCUGCUCGGUGCAGAGGGACCGUACCCUGACCGCACUGCUGGGCCAAAAUGCAGCAUCAGGGAGGGGCAGGUAUGAGUACUGCUCUGACACCACACUGCAGUCAUCCAUGACUCCAUCAGCACCAGAGGAGACGGGACAUGCGGGAGCAAUGUCAGCCCAGCAGGGAGCUCACAGCAGCCUCUCUGAGAUCAAACUGUAGAAGACUGGGUAAAAUGGACAGGAGAACAGAAGAAAGGAGGAAGAUGUCUCAAGUCAAUUGCACCAAGAAAAACUCUGCAUGAGGUGAAGGAACUUCACAGCAGAGCCAAGGCAGAACAGGCAGCUGAAGUCGAGAAGCAAAUUUGAGCCCUGAGGCCAGGAGCAGCAACCAGCCCUGCAUGAGCAGCCACAAAAGGAAGGUCCCAUCAAGUGGUGCCCUGCCACGGAGAGGUGGGGAAGGCAGUGGGUUAAACAUGCAGGCCUGGGACCGUGCUGCAGGUGUUAGAUCCUGACAGUUCCCUGCUGUGGCUUCCUCUGGAGAGGCCUUGCUCAGCCAGCUCUUGGUGGAUGAAAACAGCAGUGGAUAGACAGUGAGGGCUCAGUAGCCUCACAGGUACUGCUGCUUACCCAGCAGCAAAGACUGCUGGAUAAAACACCUCUGAAGUGAGGAACCUCUCUGCACACUGCGGAUGCAGGGAGCUCAGAGGUGUCUUUUAGACUGACUAUGUCCUGAAAGUUUGCAGUUAUUAAUUCUUUGCCUGGGCAAUGCAGGCAGGCCACAGACUGGGGCAGCUGUAGCCAAAUCCUCAUUGCCCUGACUGGGGCAAAUCCCCAGUGCCCUGGCGUUGAUAGCUUUGUGUGUGAGUGAGGGCAGUCUGGGGCCAGGCCCUGCUUGCCCCUCUCCCUGGCUGCCAGGCUUCCAGGGACGGGAGCAGCUCUGUUCCUGCCUGCAGGGACCAUCUGUGGGCAUGUAGCUAUUGCCAGGCAGGCGGUACCAAAGGAUUCCUGUGCUAGCAAGAGUCUUUUGUUGCUGUUGUUUCAAAGUCUUUGAAAUGCAUGUUUUGUUUCCUUGUUCUGACAUGACAAAGGACUAUUUUAAUUGCUGUGUAUUAAAUCUGUUCAUGGGGGAAAAAAUGAAGGACUGCUUUAGCCUGCUGUUCUUGGGGAGCUGGUCUGUUAUCAAUAGCCUCUUUCUACCAGAGUUCAGCAGGCGAUGGCUUCAGCCUCGUCAGAGUCAGUGGUGGCAUAUUCCCCAGCCUAUAUUCCCUGGGUGUGGAUGUUCAGCCUCAAAGGAGGAUAUAUAGCAAUGCAAAGGGCUGAUUCUUCCCUCCUGUCCCUCCCCUCCUCCUGACAGCUUGAAGAUCCCUGACUUAGGGUACUUCCCUUUCAAAUAUUUUCAUGCCAAUAUAAACAGAGCUGCCCAGCUCCUGGUAUUCUGGUGUGCAGGACCCUUGUGCCAGGCUACAAAGCAGGACAGGCCAGUGACACCAAGCUGUCCCUGGGAAACGUGGUUUUGCAGCACUUUCCCUUGGCUACGACAGAGCUCUAGCUCUGUCCGACGCUGGGACUGCCCACACCUGAUCGAGCUGGCCGGAAGAUUGCAGGGGCAGGGAGAGAGGUGGGUGUUGCGGUGGAGCUUGCGAGGCAAGGGACCAAGAGAGUGACUCAAUAUGUGAAACCUGACAGCUCUGUGUCAAGGUCUGGCCACAGCACAGAGCCACGGAGGGGAACGAGGCUCAUCAAAUUGAGCCUGGGAAGGUUUCCAAAACCUUGUCUUCACAAGCCAACAGUGUGCAGGUUUGCAUAAAUAUCUCUAAAAUUCAUCAAACAGUUCAAAUGAAAUACACUAAGGAAGGAACUAUUUCUGCAUUUAAAUCCACACACAGUUACUCCUCUGUCUUUGAAAUCCAGCGAUGCCCGCCCCUCCAUCAGCCUAGGAGCAAGGUACAUUCCAGAUGGUUCCCCCAUCCUAAAAAACUGCACUGCACAGCCGAUUAAAUUCUGCUUGUUGUAAUUAAGCCUGACACAAUUAGCUGUCAAGCAGGGCACUCAUCUGUUUUAUGUUGCAAUCUCUUCAACAGGCGAGGCUGCUAGACAAGAUUGUCACUUUUCGAAAAGAUUUUCAUUAGUUACCCUGGGCUCUGUGUCAGGCUAUGAAAUAUAAAAAUGUGCUCUGUAGCCAAGUCAGGGAAAUUCUCAUUUAAUGGUCCACACAGUAUUAUGAAAGUAAUGUACUCUGAAAAUGAAUGCAUUUUGGAACAUUUUGGAAGAAAUGUAAUUUGUCUGCUAAGUAAUAACUGCAUGUUCAUGAAUUUACUGAUUUUUUUCAAUAUGCCUUUCGUAAAGUUGAAAAGACUUGUUCUGACCUAAAAUGAGAGGAAGAGAAACUGUUGAUUUUAAUGUUACUCCUUCCUCCCUCCCUCUCCCCCUCCCUCUUUCUUUCAUUCUUUCUUUGUUUUCCAUCACUUCCGUGCACCCUCAGUAUAAGAACCAGGCACUGUCUGAUAAAAGUGGAAGCUUGGCAGAGAAGAAAUACGCAGCCAAAAUGGAAAAGACAGAAAAUAAUUGCGGUCGGUGAGGAAUGAGGGAGCUCCAUCUUUCUGUGUCUUUAAGAACAAAGAGCAAGAAAUCCCCUGUUGCUCCUCACAGUUCAACAACCAGCAUCUGUCAGUGGAGAUGCAAUUACAGUUUUCCUGUUUUGGUGGGACUUUGAAUUUUCUGCAUUGCUAAGUCAGAGGCUAAGGGGGGGUCAAACACACAGAGUUGCGGGUGCUUCUCGCCACCAAAAUUCAGACUUGCAAUCAGAAAAUAAGGAAGAAUUCCAGGCUGGCAGAGCCUUCUCCUUUCCUUAUAAAUACAUCUGGACUGUAGGACAAAUGCUUUGACCCUCUCUGUCUGGUGCAUUGCCUCUCUCUGCUCCAGUUCACUCCAGUGCUGAAGCAUUCGUGACUCUGGGUUCAGAUGUGAUGGUCUAAACUGGGGAUCAUGCACAGCCAGGGAGAUGGGGGCAGAGCUGAACGGCCAUGGAAAUGCUGCCUGAGCUUUCCAUCAGAAGAGAAGUGGUGUUGAGUUACUGGGUUGAAUCAGGCAGGAAUUUGGUAGGGGGCAGAGAGGAAAAUGAAAAACCAGAUAAGUGGAAACCAAGUUGGGAAAAAAAGAGGAAAAUAGGUGAGGAAUUACAGUGAGAAUUGGGACUGUAGUCACAACUGGCAUGAGUGAGCUCAGCAAGCUUCUGCAUUUACUUAAGAUGUGAUUUUGAUGGUUGCAGGAUGACACGGUCCAGACCUGGGUGAAGCUGAAGCAGUGUUGUCACUGCAUCCUGCCAAGCCAUGGUUAGAAAUUAUUCUCCUCUGAUCUGUUAUUACCCCCACACUUGUGUAUUUACGUGGCCCUGUGUGGCCUUGAACAGGAACAAGUAAAGAGUGGCAUAUAUUACUGUCUUGAUAUAUCUGUACAAAUUGGGCUUGUCAGUUUAUACAUUGAGAUGAAAUAUAGUUUUCAGAUCAUAAGAAGUUACGUGCUGAAGUCUGAACCCUGCUGCGACAAGCAUUACCCAGCUUUGUUUGCUGCCUGUUACUGGCCAUUAACUCCCCAGGCAGACUCUCUUAUUCAGAAUUCAAGUGAAUUUAAUCAGGCUUCGUUUACCCUCCUUGGGAAGGAAUAAAGUUCAUCCAAAUUAACACCACUUAUCUCCAAAUAGAAGCACCCCUACAUGAGGUUCAGUGUGCAUUUCAAUGAUUUGUCUUUUAUGGCACACCUUCUCCACACUCAGAUUUCCUUUGCAGUCAGACCUUUUCUUGAAAAAGGCUCUCACUUUCCCAGAGCAGUUCUGGAAGUUGUCUCAUUCCUUCCCUGGGUGUCUGCACAGGGCUGGGAGCUUGGGGCUGAAGUGGAGCCUGGUCCAUUAGCAUUCCACCACAGAAGGAGGUCAAGAAAAACUCAUCCAGAAGCAUGAGGAAGGAGCAAAUAAAAGCAGAGCGGGUGAGCUGAAAAAAUUGUCUCUUAAUUGAGCUGGGUGAGAAGGACUAGUGGUGAUUGCAAGGCUUGUAGGUCUUUGUUUAUGAGAGCUGCCUUCCUGCGAUCUGUCUCCAUGGGAUAGAAGCAUCCAAGCUACCUUGAGAGAGCGUCAUGCAGGGAGGAGCUGAACCAGAGUGGCUGUAUGCAAAACAUGUGGGGUGCAUGGCUGUGUGCGCGCUGCUCCAGUGCUGUUUCCAAACACUGCCAGCACUUUUGGUCCAAAAAGCAGAGUACUAGGGCUUUUCCUCUCCAGCAUGUUCCCUUCCUUCAGCCAGGGCAGGAUCACCAUGGAGUAGCACAGAACAAAGGGAGAGCUUGCCCUCAUACCCCAGAUGCUGAUUUUUAAAGAUGGUCACAUACACCAUAGUGUGCAUGGAUGGGGCAGAGCAAUGUGGAGUCACAGAUCGUUUGCCAUGAUGACAACCUUCAUAAACAGAGUAAAUCUAACAUGUCUGAGAUAGGAGAGACCCAGGGUGUCUGUGCUGGAGAGCUCAGCUGCAUGUGCAUGGGGGCUGUUUGACCAGGUCUCUGGACAUCUGCUCUCCACCCUGAGCUACUGCUCCAGCCCAGCUGCCAAAGCUUUAACAUCCCAGAGAAAUGGCUAGCAUCCUUUUUUAUGCUGGGAUGAAAUGCCUGGGCAGAAAGAGAGGGUCUGUGCAAGAGACACAGAUGGAUAGCAGCUCUGCUCCAAGUCCUCUAGCUAUCUCUUGAGCAAGCGGUGAUCAGUCUGGCGGAUGCUGCCCUCAGCACCCAGCUUCCCCCGCAAGCUGCUUGCUCCAUGUAGGUCCGGGGCUCGCCGUGUGGCUUGGCUGACGCGGGCACCCAGGGGGAUGCUGGCUUUGCUGCUGCAAGUGGCCAGCACGUAGUGGGUACAUGCUAGCAGGGGCUCUUGGCUUGCUGCAACUCGCUGCUUUAUUGCAAAUAGCUUUGGCUGUAGCUGCUGUGAUAACAGUAAAACCCAACCCCCCAAAAUCCCUUCCUGCUCCAUUCUCUAGCUGUAUCUGCUGCUGGCAGAAGCUGUGCCAGCACCAGGUGCAAGGGGCUGCUCAAUGAAGGGUACAAUGAACCCCAGGUCUGAUUUUUUUGUGUCUGUUUAACACUUUCCUCCCUCCAUUACUAUUUGUCAGUGGGAAUCCCUCCCUUCCUGGGUCAUCAAAGUGAGGGGUAUUUUCCCAUUUUGUGAGUGUCUUAACGCUGGGACAAGAGUCAGGAAGAGGUCAAUGAACGAAAAAGGUCCCCAGGUGCCUCCCUUUUCCCCACACCGCUGCUGCUCACCACAGGCUGGGAUGAACAGGCAGCUCCAUUUAGGUUCGUGCUUGCAUUUGGUUUGGGACAUCACAUAAGUGGAGGCCUCAGCAUUUACACCUGUGCUUGAGUUGAAGCCCAUGUGUAAGGAGACUCACAGCCUUUUUUGUUCCUCCUCAGCAUCUGUCUGAUGAGAGCCAAAGAGUCCUGCCAGUCCCAUCCAGUUUGUCGCACUGAGCUGUUGACCGCUGCACAUCUCUGCGCUGGUCACAACUCCCUGAUGCAUUCAGAGCCUUCAUUAGGUUUCACUGAAACCCCACAUUGGCAAAGGUUUUUCUGGAGUGACCUCCUACACAUCACAAACCACAGGUAUCACCCCAGUUCUCCAAAAAUAACCUGAAGGGAUGGAAGAGAAGCUCUCUGUUGUCUUUCAGGUGUCUGUGGAGACCCACAAAAUGUGUUCUCCCUGCUUGAUCCAUCCUAUUACAUGACUGACGGUGCUUGGACAUGGUGGAGAUUGAUAGCAUUGAGAUCGGACUCUGGUCAAGGAAUUUGAAAUCUGAUUUGAGGCAGUUUCCAUUGUGUACAAAACCAGCCUCGGCCAGAUCUUGAUCUCAUUUGCAUUGGAUGAAAACAAUUGUUUCAAAUGGAGCUAUGCUGGAUUUAUAAUUGCAUAAAUGAGAGCAGAAUCUGAUCUAUUCCAAGGGAGGAUUUCCCAGGGUGUUGCCGUGUGAGAACACCCCUGCCAUGGUGAAGUGAUCAGGUGCUUUGCCAUCGAUUUCAAUGGAGAAUUUUCAUCUAAGUUCUGGACUGGAGCCCUAAGCUUGACAGCUGCUGCUUCACCCACACCAAAGAAGCCACCAUUUCGAUGGGAUAUGAACAGACGUUGCUGACUCUGGAUCUUACAAGGUACUGUACAAGCUCAGCCAACCCUUAAAACACUGGCCUCCUAACUGCCAGCUGUAACACUUUAUAAACAUGGAUAUUCCACCCCAGUUCUCAAAGAUAAGUUUUGCUGUGAAAACAUGCAGUUUGAUUCUUUGUUACCCAAGGCCUGGGGAAGUGCAAAGCUGAUACGCAGUA